ensembl:lncRNA
CUAAAUUCUCAAACGUUCCCGUUUUUAAAUCUCUGUACUUCACAUACCAUCCUUCUUUAGCGGUUUAGACUUUUUUUUAAAAUGACUCUUUAUUUUGAUGAGACUUCCAAACUAACGCUAAACUAUGUUUUCAGAGAGACAGGUUUUAAGAAUCAGAAUAACAAACCAAGCUUCUGUUUAAUGCAAAGUUAAUGUUACUACAGUUUAAUCAUGCCCUCUCCACACCUGCUUCCCGGGCUUCUGCCAUAGCGUUUUUUCAAGGAUUUUGGAUCUCCGUAUGUUUUUCCCUUCUGGUCUUUGUCAAUGGUUUUCAUAAUUGGUUAAGAUGAGAUAGUUAGAAAAUGACCUGUGAACGGCAGGAAAAACCACUUUAACUGGUAAUUUAGCUGAACCUUUAACUAUUUCAGCUAUGUCAUUGAGCAAACAGAUUCGAGAACUGACGGAGAGUCUGUUCUAAGAAUGUUUUGAUCCCUGCCCCCUUCCCACCCAUGCAACUAUGGAUGCCUAGUCCAAGAUAAAAAGGGCCAGGGACAACAUUGUGUUCACCAUCAUAGAGUUGAUUAAAACUUCACUGAGGCAAGCACCAAUGUUUAGAAAGCCUUGAGUACAGUUAGACUGUAAGUUCCUUGAGGACCAGAAGUGGUAAACAUCAUUGGACUCCUCAUUUCUAAUACAUCACAUGGCCUAGCACACAGAGGUGCACAGCAGAUACUGGUGAAUAAAUGGCGACUUAUGAGAAAUUUAGAUAUUUCUUCUAUCUACCUCUUCCUUACACACAUCUUAUUAGCAGACCUAAUUCAAAUUUGAACCAUCUCGGGUUUCUGUCUUCAUUGCAAAGGCCCAUCUGGGCUCAUCAAUCUCACCCUCUUCACCAAACAACUUGAGUCACACAGCAUAUGGUUAGUAAUUUAUCACCUUUAAAAAAGCAAAACUCAGCUAGGGAGUAAUUGCAGUCCAGAAAAUCUCAUUAGUAUAGUACAGCAAGUCCAAUCCUCCCACCAACUUUUCAACAGUGCAAAAGAACAAAUACAUGCCCACGUUCAAGAAGUGAUAGUAUUUAUAUGAUCAGACUAUAAUCAUGCACGAUUUAUUACCACGUGGCUUUGGAAUAGUUCAGUUUACAGAUCUAAGAAAAUUAUUCAAUAUCUGAUGGGAUCGUUCAGAAUAAGAUUAAACUGCUCAAUGCUGUUGUCAAAUACAAAAAAAAGAAAGUAUGAGUGCCAAAGUUUCCUCAGAGGGUUCUUAUGGGAUUCUUGACCCGAUGCCUGAAAAGCACUUAUGCAGAGCCAGACACAUCUUGAAAGCACAAUAAAUCUCUGCUGCUAUUCCUCUGCCCCAUAAUUUCUGUUUGAGCAAAGGUGAGUAAUGUUAACCCUCUGGCAACAUUUUCUCAUCUAUAAAAAAGGGUAUUAAUCAUAGCCGUCUGUAUGGUUGUGAGGAUCUGAUGGUACAGUGGAAAGCUCUGUGUAAACCAUGGCCAAUAUUUAGUAGUUCUUCUUAUUGCUAAUUAAAUGCCCAGAAAUCAAGUGUUAACAGCUAUUCAUUUACCUUAGUAUUUGUUCAAUCUACAUCCGUCACCCUUGAUAUGUGUGUGAGAGGGGUUCUUUCUAAUAGUAUAUUUCAAUAAGUGAAUUAAUGACACUAUAAUAUUCACUGACCAUAUAUUUUACAUAUUAUCGUAUAUGCACUUAUUAAUUGAAACACUGAGUUUAUACUCUGAACUAAGCACAGUUCUAUAUCCUGGGGAAUGUGGCAAUGAAUAAUAUGGAUGGAUUUCCUAAAUAUCAUGGAGUUACUUUGAAGAGAGACAGACAAGAAAAAAAUUAAUAUGUCAAGUGAUGAAUAGCUGUGACCAAAAAUAGAUUAGGGGCCUAAAGAGUGUUAGGGGUGUGGUCAGAGAAGGCUCCUUCUGAGAAGGUGGCAGUUGGCCAGAGAUUUGAAGGAAAUGAGGAUGAAGUCAUGCAGAGGAAAGAGCAAGUGCAAAGUUUCUCAGGUGGGUUCCUGCUUGGCCUAUUAAAUAGACAAUAAAGGAGACAAAGUGGCUGGAGAGAGGCGAGUGAGGGGGAGAUUGGUGGAGACAAGGAUAGAGAGAAAUAUAGAAGGCCCGGUAGGCUGAUGAAGAGGACCCAUCAGUGGGUUACACUCUGAGUGAGAUGGCAGCCUUGGAAGGUUUGAGUGGAGGACUAAUAUGAUCUAACUUACACUGUAGGAGACUCACUGUCUCAGUCCAUUCGGCUGCUAUAGCAAAGAUACCGUAGACUGGGUGGUUUCUGAACAAACAGAAAUUUGUUUCUCACGAUUCUGGAGGCUGAGAAAUCCAGGAUCAAGGUGCUAGCAGAUUCAGUGUCCUGACUCACAGACAGCUCUUUUCGCUGUGUCCUCACAUGACUGACAGGGGAAAGGGAGCUCUCUGGGGGCUCUUUUACAAACAUACUAAUCUCAUGCAAAGACCUAAUCACCUCCCAAAGGCCCCAUCACCAAAUACCAUUACACUAAGCAUUAGGCUUCAACAUGCGAAUUUGGGGGGAUACAAACAUUCAGUCUGUAGGUCUCACCUUGGGUGCCAUGUAGAGAAUAGAUUGCAAGUACAGCAGGUGUGGAAGGAGGGAGAAUCGAUAAGAGGCGAUUGCAAUUGUCUAGGUGAGAAAGCAUGGUGGGUUAGAUUAGAGAGUAGCAAUAGAGAAGACGAAAUGAUUACUGGAAAUGAUUUUGGAAAUAUUUAGAAAGUAGAGCUGGGGGGAUAUACUGUUGGUUUGGAGGUGGGUGGGAAGACAGAAGAAUAAUGCUGAGAAUGACACUAAGACUUUUGGCCAGAACAACUGAGAAUGUAGAAUGGAGAUGCUGUUAAGUAAAGAAGGAACUACUGGAGGAGGAGAAGAUGUAAG